CUUCUGUCCCAUUGGACAGGCAACAUUUUAAAGGUCUGAAUGCAUCGUCACUGAGAUAUAGGACAACAGGAGCUAUUCUUCGGGUUUGAGAACCAAAAGGGACAAAUGGAGUGUUUAGGGAAACAUUUUGGCAGGGCCUGAUGUGAUGAUGCACGCCCUCUGACGCAUCGAAGCCAUCCCUGGGGACAUGCCCUAGAAAAACUGCUCUGCACCAGGAGACAAGUCGGUGGAUGUCACAGCCGGACAAUGGAACAUCCUUCCACCGUGGCAGUUCACAUCAGGAAAUACUACGUCGUUCAGAUGGGAGGCAGCCCCGGAGCCGUGACCUCGGGAAGCGAGUGGGACCAGGAGGCUCUGUCAUGAGCAGAACUCGAGAAACAAGAGCAGGGUCCAUGGGCCUCCGGUGGCAAUGAGACCUGCCAGCAGCUGCAUGAUGGACCAGGGCUAUGUACACACUUCACCGAGUCCAGCAACCUGGGAACAGACCGGUGCUGCUGCUCUUGGCCCUGUCAGAGAAGGUUCUGCUUUCCGUGAAUGGUGGCUGAUACAGAGAGACUCCCAUGGCUGGUCAAAGUGCUGAGAGCCAGUGACUCCUGAGUGCUUGAUUCUAACAGGACACGAUGCCAUCCCUGACAAGGCUCGGAGAACAUCACAGGAGAGGGAGGAGGGAAGAGCCGGGGGAUGGCGAGGAAGGCUGUGACGUGCUUGUUCUGGGCGUGACCCAGCCAUUGCACAUUGAACUCACAACAGUUGCACACGGACUGCACGAGCCCUGCCCUGCCAGCAUUCGGUCAUGGGUGGGGAAGAGGCUUCCAGGGGGCUGUUGGCAGCUAAUGGCUGCUGAGGGAAAGGGAGCCGUUGUCUUGGCUGGAGAAGGCACUAGUGAGAUCUCACGGGAAUGCGCAAAGACAGACAAUUCAACAGCCACGAGGAUGAUCACUUCCAGCAAAUUCAAAACUGGAGAAAAUACAUCCGGAGAAAACAGGAGGAAGGGCUGUUUUCCUGUUGAGAGCCAAGCUAGCCUAGGCUGGUCUCAAAGGAGGUUCAGGAGGCGGGAGGGCAGGGCUCGGUCGAGCAACCGGCCUCCCGUGGGCCUCAGGGUUUCCGAGCUGUGCUGGAUCCUAGGAGGCAGAUCUAUGAUCUCAUUGUCCCUCUUUCGCUAAGUCACAGAAGGAAACUUGCUGAGAAGCGUGGAGAGGCAGGUGCAGCCCUCAGCAAAUCCCAGCUGCCACUCCAACCCAGUCGCUGCCACGCACCACUCUGGCGUCUGCUCCCACUAGACCCACUAGAGGAGCUGAGCCGGGCGAGAGCCGUUCUGCCUCAUCAUGUCCGGCACAGAGCAGUGGAUAAAGGAGGCCCAGGUACACACCGUCUCUACAGGUCGCUCAAGCCCAAGGUGCCCUCACCUUACUCUUGGAGAUGCCCCCAGUGACCCAUCCAAUCCUGGUGCCUGAUCUGAAAGGGUCCGGAGGCUUCUGCGCUCUCAUACAGUGUCUGUACCCUACUCUAUAUUCAGGUGGUUCUGAGGGGAAAUGACGGCCCAUUGCAGGAAGCUAAAGAUGCUCUGUGCACAUGUUGGAGGAAUCCACGUAGUCUCCAUCGCAUCAGCCUACACCUCCGCUCCCAAGCUCCUUAGAACCAUCAAUGUCCUGGGGAAAGUGGGUAAGGGCCAUUGGAAGAUAUGCAAAGUGACCUCUCCCCCCCCCACCCCCCCACCUCCCAUUAAAGGCGGAAACCUGAACUGGAACAAAUAGAUUGUAGUACCGAGCGCGUAUCCACACAAUGCAGCAAAGUGAAUGGGAUUCAGUGUCUGUAACACACAGCGGAACCCUGAGAAUAUGCCGGGGAAACAGACCUAAGAGGACAGUGGUUUGUUCCUAUUACGAAGUACCUAGAACAGGAAACUCCUAGGAAGGGGAGUGGCCAGAUGGUAGCGAAGAAGCGGCUUUUAUUGGACAAGCACAGCUUUUCUUGGAGAUGGUGAAUACAGUGAUGGCGGUCACACACAAAAAAUGUCAAUUAACUGCCACCAAACUGUAAAUUUACAAAUGGUUAAAAUGGAAAUUUGUACAUGUAUUAUAUAUAUCUAAAAAACUAUUUGUUGGAGAAAAAGAAGCAACAAGAGAAUAAAGAAUUUUUGGAAAUUUAGAACAUAAUGGCAAAAACGGAAAACUAAAUAGGAGUAGGGAAUCAUGGGAUGGGCUGCUUUAAAAAUCAGCGUGACUCGGAAAGGCAGCCAAGGAGCUUGCUUAGAAAAAAAAAAACUGAGGACGCUAUUUGGAUUUAUAAUUAUUUCCAUCUUUAGUCAGUUCUAUUUCCAAAUAAGUCUGUGGUCUCAAUCUAAA